GGCCAGCGUCUGAACUAUAUUAUGUCAAACAUGACUCAAGUUGAUGAUGUCGAUUUAGGGCGGGAAUGUCUUCUCAAGGGGCUGUGUGUGCACCUCAAUGAGGACCCACAAGAUCUGCUGAAAGAGUUUGUGGCAGAAGAUGAAGACGUCAUUCUGCGGUCCAUUCAGGGGAUUACAGUGGGACUUUAUGUCGUCAAACACAAUUCCACCAUGAGACCAGAGUACAGAUGAGACCAGAGGACAGAUUGUCCUGGAAGGCCAACAGGUACUAACUGAUGUGGACAACAUUGCAUUAGCUGCUACCAUGUUAUUUGGACUAAUGUUUGCAAUGAACCUGAACUACCCACCUAAACUGAAGUGCACGUUCA